GUCCAGGGAUGGGAAACGAACCCACAAUGUUAAGCUUAGAAGGCAGAUGCCAUGUCCACUAGGCUACCCUGGA
rnacentral:tRNA from 1 species